rnacentral:rRNA from 1 species
GGGUUGUGAGGUUAAGCGACUAAGCGUACACGGUGGAUGCCCUGGCAGUCAGAGGCGAUGAAGGACGUGCUAAUCUGCGAUAAGCGCCGGUAAGGUGAUAUGAACCGUUAUAACCGGCGAUUUCCGAAUGGGGAAACCCAGUGUGACUCGUCACACUAUCAUUAACUGAAUCCAUAGGUUAAUGAGGCGAACCGGGGGAACUGAAACAUCUAAGUACCCCGAGGAAAAGAAAUCAACCGAGAUUCCCCCAGUAGCGGCGAGCGAACGGGGAGGAGCCCAGAGCCUGAAUCAGCAUGUGUGUUAGUGGAAGCGUCUGGAAAGGCGCGCGAUACAGGGUGACAGCCCCGUACACAAAAGCGCAUGUGUUGUGAGCUCGAUGAGUAGGGCGGGACACGUGGUAUCCUGUCUGAAUAUGGGGGGACCAUCCUCCAAGGCUAAAUACUCCUGACUGACCGAUAGUGAACCAGUACCGUGAGGGAAAGGCGAAAAGAACCCCGGCGAGGGGAGUGAAAAAGAACCUGAAACCGUGUACGUACAAGCAGUGGGAGCACCCUUUGGGGUGUGACUGCGUACCUUUUGUAUAAUGGGUCAGCGACUUAUAUUCUGUAGCAAGGUUAACCGAAUAGGGGAGCCGGAGGGAAACCGAGUCUUAAUUGGGCGUUAAGUUGCAGGGUAUAGACCCGAAACCCGGUGAUCUAGCCAUGGGCAGGUUGAAGGUUGGGUAACACUAACUGGAGGACUGAACCGACUAAUGUUGAAAAAUUAGCGGAUGACCUGUGGCUGGGGGUGAAAGGCCAAUCAAACCGGGAGAUAGCUGGUUCUCCCCGAAAGCUAUUUAGGUAGCGCCUCGUGAAUUCAUCUCCGGGGGUAGAGCACUGUUUCGGCUAGGGGGCCAUCCCGGCUUACCAACCCGAUGCAAACUGCGAAUACCGGAGAAUGUUAUCACGGGAGACACACGGCGGGUGCUAACGUCCGUCGUGAAGAGGGAAACAACCCAGACCGCCAGCUAAGGUCCCAAAGUCAUGGUUAAGUGGGAAACGAUGUGGGAAGGCCCAGACAGCCAGGAUGUUGGCUUAGAAGCAGCCAUCAUUUAAAGAAAGCGUAAUAGCUCACUGGUCGAGUCGGCCUGCGCGGAAGAUGUAACGGGGCUAAACU